rnacentral:rRNA from 1 species
UAGCGUAGGGUGCAAGCGUUGUUCGGAAUUACUGGGCGUAAAGAGUGUGUAGGCGGUGCUCCAAGUCUGGUGUGGAAAUCUCCCCGGCUUAACUGGGGAGGGUGCAUUAGAAACUGGAAUGCUAGAGGAUGGGAGAGGUAAGCGGAAUUCCUGGUGUAGCGGUGAAAUGCGUAGAUAUCAGGAGGAACACCUGUGGUGUAGACAGCUUACUGGACCAUUUCUGACGCUGAGACACGAAAGCGUGGGUAGCAAACAGG